UACGAAGGGGGGCUAGCGUUGCUCGGAAUUACUGGGCGUAAAGCGCACGUAGGCGGCUUUCUAAGUCGGGGGUGAAAUCCUGGAGCUCAACUCCAGAACUGCCUUCGAUACUGGAGAGCUUGAGUCCGGGAGAGGUGAGUGGAACUGCGAGUGUAGAGGUGAAAUUCGUAGAUAUUCGCAAGAACACCAGUGGCGAAGGCGGCUCACUGGCCCGGUACUGACGCUGAGGUGCGAAAGCGUGGGGAGCAAACAGGG
rnacentral:rRNA from 1 species